rnacentral:tRNA from 1 species
GCAUCCGUAGCUCAAUUGGAUAGAGCUUCUGACUUCGGAUCACGGUGUGGCGGGCUUGAGUCCUGCCGGAUGCGCCA